rnacentral:rRNA from 1 species
UGGGGAAUAUUGGACAAUGGGGGCAACCCUGAUCCAGCCAUGCCGCGUGUGUGAAGAAGGCCUUUUGGUUGUAAAGCACUUUAAGCAGGGAGGAGAGGCUAAUGGUUAAUACCCAUUAGAUUAGACGUUACCUGCAGAAUAAGCACCGGCUAACUCUGUGCCAGCAGCCGCGGUAAUACAGAGGGUGCGAGCGUUAAUCGGAAUUACUGGGCGUAAAGCGAGUGUAGGUGGCUCAUUAAGUCACAUGUGAAAUCCCCGGGCUUAACCUGGGAACUGCAUGUGAUACUGGUGGUGCUAGAAUAUGUGAGAGGGAAGUAGAAUUCCAGGUGUAGCGGUGAAAUGCGUAGAGAUCUGGAGGAAUACCGAUGGCGAAGGCAGCUUCCUGGCAUAAUAUUGACACUGAGAUUCGAAAGCGUGGGUAGCAAACAGGAUUAGAUACCCUGGUAGUCCACGCUGUAAACGAUGUCUACUAGCCGUUGGGGUCCUUGAGACUUUAGUGGCGCAGUUAACGCGAUAGUAGACCGCCUGGGGAGUACGGCCGCAAGGUUAAACUCAAAGGAAUUGACGGGGUCAUAGCUGUUUCCUG